rnacentral:misc_RNA from 1 species
ACGAAGUAUGCAGUGGACAGAAGUGGACCAGGAGCAGCUGCAUCGAUUCUUGGAGAGCUUCACUAACCCAGACCCGUUGGUGCAGGCCUCGAACCUAGAACAGCUCCAAGCCCUGUCGGACUACCCAUCUGCAUUAGUGUCCACACUCGCUAUCGUCUGUGAUGCGGCAGCCUCCGUCACUGUGCGGCUCUCUGCCACUACAGUGGCCCGCCAGCUACUGCGCUGCAGCGACCGGCUGCCACUCUAUCUCAGCGCUGCAGGGGAUGAUCCGGCAACGGCGGCGCAGUCCAUAGCGGAGGCCCUCUUUGACGCUGCCCUCGGGGGCUCGUCCUCACUAUCAUCGGCGACCACAGCAGCACCACUACAGCGCGCCACAGCGAAUCUCAUCGCCUGCCUGCUAAGUGGGUUGGCUCACACAAGCCUGGCGUCCACCGCCACUGCAGUCUGGUCCCGCAUCAUAUCCUCUCUCCUCCAACGCACAGAUCCGGCCACGCUCAUCGUGAACCACGCAUUUCAAGGCGGUCGCUGGCACACAGCUCAGCUUGGGGCCCUGUGCGCUGCGUUGCUGCGCGCGAUAUGCGAGGCACCCCUUUCCACGUCGAAGGUUCUGCGUGAACGGUUGGGUAGCCAAGCAGCCGAGUGCUUGACCCUCUGCUCCCUUUUCACACAGUUGCUGCAACUACUCGAAAAGCAGAUGGAGACGGAGCAAGCCGCGAGCGGGGCAGCAGCGCGUUUCAAUGCGUUGUGGUUGGAAGAGACUCUCACUGCUUUUCAGGCGUGCAUGGAGUCUGGUCUUCUGCCUUGUGCCCCUUCAGACUUCUUGCGCGCGCCCGCUAGUGACCAAUCUGUCACCUCGCCUGGUGCGGACAGCAGCAGCACCGGCUUGGGUGAGGGCCCCUCUAUGCAGGCACUGCGCGCCGUGGGCACCGCAGUUCGCAAUGUUCAAAUCGGCGCUCAGGACCUCCUCCUCCGUCACGUGCUGGGGCAUCUGGAGCUUUUGGACGGUCAGAGGGCUGACGGCGCUUUCCUGCGCGAGGUGGUUGUGUCUGCCGCUCCUUUCGUGGCGGUUGGCAUGCGCUACAUGGCCGACGCCGUCGCUCUCGAUGCUGUCCAUCCCCUUCACGAUGCCUUCCACGCCACGGCAACUCCUCUGCUUGCGAAAUUCUGCCAUGCAGCGUGCCUUGCUGAGCUCCAGUACGAUGGUGCCGGUGAGUCUGACAGCGUUCACGCCGCCGUCUUGGCCUGCAUAAACUACGUGACAGAGUGGAUGAAUACAGAGUGCGCGCAUCUCCGAGCACCUUUGAGCCGCCUUGCCGCGUUCUCGGCUCAUCCCUCGACGAUGACUGCACCAACAGAGGGCUACGUCUCCUGCCUCUACAGCAUGCUCGUAGAUGCAGCUACGCUUCCGACAUCUGUAGCUGAUGCGCUAGAGGAACACACAACACACCAGCCGGACAGCGCCGCAGGUUUUCUGGUGAAGUCGGCCACCGGGCGGCGUCGGGAGCCCCGCGGCAGUCACACGCAAAAAACUUACGAUGAAUGGGCUUCGGUUGCCGCCGAACCCGCAGAGGCAACGCGGAACGCGUCAGCAGUAGUGAUCCCAGCGAGCUGUGACAAACAGGAUGACACCUUAAUUGCAGACGCGCUGGAAGUCGCGCUACCGGACAACGGGACACUAAGGCAGGCCGUAGCCUGGUGUGCAGCUGGGCUCUCCUGCAAGCAGGCGUGGAUGAUGGCGGUUGCACCUUUAGUCGUGCGCCCUGCAACAAUCUCCCCGCUGGCAAGCCUCGCUGUAGCCUGCGCCGCAGAGUCCGCCUUGUUUGUGAACAACGAGUUCCUCGAUGGUAUCCUCGCCGACGACGAAGUCAGCGCCUCCCUCGCCGCAGCAACUCCUGAGCUACUCGACCAAAAUCUUGCAGCGCAAGUGCAGUCUGUCUUGAGCCUUCUCGGCCCACCAACACAAGAUGGCUUUGGCACUCGCGCUCCAUUCUUUGUGCGCAUGCAGGCUGUGAGGUAUCUUGGAAGGCUGGUGGUUGGCUUACUGGACGCAUGGCAGCACACUUCCAGCGCUGAUCACGUGACUCGAAGCAGGUCAGGUAUUGAAGAGCGUGCCCACACGGUGAUGCUUGCAGUCGGUGGCCUGGAAAAACUGCUUGGCCUUGUCCUCGGUCGCCUGACCACGGAGGUAAGUAAAGCCGCUCAAGUGGAAUGUGUAAAGACCCUCAACUCCGCUCUUACCUCAUACCUGAAGGUGAUGGAGCAGCUGAUGCGCAGUGCCGUGAACGGCGGUGCUGCAUCGGACCUCGAGGAGGAAUCUCUGGGCAGCACCAGCGGCAGCAGUGGCGAUAUGGAUGCCGGUGACGAAGGCGGCGACGCAGCUCGCCAUCUUUUGCUCAGUGACCGCUGCGAACGUGCGCGCGCCUUUUUUCAGUCCUUCGGCGCCACGACGGGCCUUUGCGCCGUUGUGGAGGUGUUGCGUGUUGUUUCUUCAUACCUCCCGUCCUUCCAGUGGAGCGUCCGGCAAGCUGUGUACCACCUCUUCAGUGAAGCACUGCCCUCGCUCUGGCGAACAGCACCAUUGGUGGACUCCUUGUCUGCAAGCCAGGCAGAUGGCACCCACUCAGUAGCAUCGUACUCGGCUCGUUUCGUCACCGCGCAGGUUUUGGAGGCGCUGGCCCAGCACUACGCCACACUCCUCAGCGGCUCUUCCCUUUCCGAAAAUGCCUCUCCGAUGCUAGAGAUGGCGACGCUGCUGACGUCAAUGGCGGAUGUGACGAGUGCGAUGGAUGGUGGUGCACUAGAAAUGGUCGUGCCGUGGAUUCUGCAAGUGGCACAUCACAUGCUCGACCUCUACGCUCACUAUCUCACCCGUCGCGCACACUCCAAUAACUUGCCAACUGCUGACAGCGCAAGUGGGGUUGUGGACAUGACAGAUAUGUGCAUGGUGAGCCUCGAUCUCGUGAGCUGCGUGUGCGAUGGUGUCAUAGACCGUGACGCACUGCUGGAGCAGCAGCUGCGGCCGAAAGAAGAUGGUGACGCUUUCGGGACCAUGGAUGCGCGUGUGAUGGCGCUUGCGACGUCCAUGCUCCUCCCUCCCGCCGCCAGCGGCAUCGGAUGUGAUGGCGCGCCCAGCAGCUGCAGUGGUGCUGAGGCGCUGCCAAACCGUUGCAUGGCGCUUCUGGCUGCUUGUCAGUCACUGGCAGAUCACCCAAGCCAUGUCUCGACAAGGCCAAACACUGUGACUGCAGACGGUGCUGAAGAUGAAGCGUUCUGUCUGUCAGAUGAGUUCGGUGACGUGCGCCGAGCCUGCUUCGCCAUCGUUUACGACUGUGUCUUCCUCGCUGCGUACCGCUCUUCCCUUUUUCGGCCUCUUGAUGUGGCUGUAGCGCCCGACACGGGGCUAGUGAGCAGCCCGAGAUGUCUUUCCGACUCUCUUGGAAGAGAUCUCUUGGCGCUGUGCAUGCGCGAGGUGCUUCCCUCUAGUACGCCUUUGUCUGUGACGCGGAGUGCGGAGUACGCAGCGCACUUCCGCUUCGUCUCGGCCCACAACGCUGCAGCCUCCGAUGCAUGGCUUUGUUUGGGGUCUCUCUUGAGUCUUUGGGACCAGCAGCACUGGCAGACGAGACGCAGCGCCGCGCGUGGUGCGCAGCCUACAUGCGAAGGCGAACGCGGCCCACGCUCAGUGUUCCACAUUCGCGGACUCGAGUCCACCGCAGAGCUACACUCGCACUGUCUGCACACCCUGAACUAUCUCUUGGCGCUUCUACAAGACACGAGAGCCACCGUCAUGUCCAACAUGAGGCUGAACAUGAUCACCGCUGCCUGCGGUUUGGCAGUGCUGCUAUGCGACUCUGGUCGUUCGCACACCGAUUCUGGAGCACUGGCACCUGUGUGUCCUCUCCCCUUCGCCACCAUCUCUGCCACGUUUUCGGAGGCCGCCAGCACCCGUAUACAGGAGUACGCUCCCAAUGCCUCGGGCGGAGACCUGAGCGGCAUCAGCGAAGCUGCCCACGUGCUGUGGUGCCUCGGCCGCCUGUGGCAGGAGGCGGUCCAGCCGCUUCCCCAGGACGCCUUGUGCUCAUUUCUGCGUUCGCAUGGAAGGGAGACCACCAAGACGAUUUUGUGGUGGACGCGAUGUGUGUUUGGAGCGAAGAAGCGGCUGCCGCCUGCUGAGCCCCCUGCGUCGGCAUCGGCCCUCUUCUGGGGGUCCCUUCUGGAGCUGUGGCGACCUGUCGCGCGCGAACUUGUGCAGGCCGCGAAAGGGAAAGCACUCUCACUGACGCAGGCGCAGCUCUCCGAGCUGGGUCAACUGGAGCGACUGUGACAAUGGAGAGCAACGCAGUGCGGACGAAGGAAGAACGUGUCGCUGCUUUGCGGCUCCGUUUGUGGCCCACUGUUUUUCCUUAUUAGUGAUUGUAACGCACGAGCAAG